rnacentral:rRNA from 1 species
UGCAAGUCGUACGAGCUUCAUCUGGGCAACUGGGUGAAGAAAGUGGCGAAAGGGGCAGUAAGGCAUGGAUAAUCUACCCUGAUGACCGGGAUAGCUGUCCCAACGGGCAGGCAAUACCGGAUGAGCUGGUGGGGCCGCAUGGUUCUGCCAGGAAAGGCGCAAGCCGUGUCGGGAGGAAUCCAUGUGAUAUUAGCUAGUUGGUGAGGUAACGGCUCACCAAGGCGAAGAUGUCUAGCGGGUGUGAGAGCACGACCCGCGCCAUUGGCACUGAGACACUGGCCAGACUCCUACGGGAGGCUGCAGUCGAGGAUCUUCGGCAAUGGGCGCAAGCCUGACCGAGCGACGUCGCGUGAGCGAUGAAGGCCAUUAGGUUGUAAAGCUCUGUCGAGGGGGAACAAGCCGCAAGGUUGAGUGAUGGGGUGGAGGAAGCACGGGCUAAGUUCGUGCCAGCAGCCGCGGUAAGACGAACCGUGCGAACGUUGUUCGGAAUCAUUGGGCUUAAAGGGCGCGUAGGCGGGUUGACAAGUCCGGGGUGAAAGCCUCCAGCUCAACUGGAGAAGAGCCCCGGAUACUGUCAGUCUGGAGAGGGAUAGGGGCACAUGGAACUUCCGGUGGAGCGGUGAAAUGCGUAGAGAUCGGAAGGAACGCCGGUGGCGAAAGCGAUGUGCUGGAUCUUUUCUGACGCUGAGGCGCGAAAGCU